rnacentral:rRNA from 1 species
UGAGGAACAUGACCUUCGGCGGGGGAUAGCCGGCCCAACGGCCGGGUAAUACCGCGUACGACCACAUGGGGACAUCCCUGAGUGGUGAAAGCAGCAAUGCGCCGAUGGAGUGCCUCGCGGCCUAUCAGCUAGUUGGUGGGGUAACGGCUCACCAAGGCAACGACGGGUAGCUGGUCUGAGAGGAUGGCCAGCCACAUUGGGACUGAGACACGGCCCAGACCUCCGUAGGAGG